rnacentral:rRNA from 1 species
GGCGUCGACGGGUAGCCGGCCUGAGAGGGUGACCGGCCACACUGGGACUGAGACACGGCCCAGACUCCUACGGGAGGCAGCAGUGGGGAAUAUUGCACAAUGGGCGGAAGCCUGAUGCAGCAACGCCGCGUGGGGGAUGACGGCCUUCGGGUUGUAAACCUCUUUUAGCAAGGAAGAAGCUUUUGUGACGGUACUUGCAGAAAAAGCGCCGGCUAACUACGUGCCAGCAGCCGCGGUAAUACGUAGGGCGCAAGCGUUAUCCGGAAUUAUUGGGCGUAAAGAGCUCGUAGGCGGUUUGUCGCGUCUGCUGUGAAAUCCCGAGGCUCAACUUCGGGUCUGCAGUGGGUACGGGCAGACUAGAGUGCGGUAGGGGAGAUUGGAAUUCCUGGUGUAGCGGUGGAAUGCGCAGAUAUCAGGAGGAACACCGAUGGCGAAGGCAGAUCUCUGGGCCGUAACUGACGCUGAGGAGCGAAAGGGUGGGGAGCAAACAGGCUUAGAUACCCUGGUAGUCCACCCCGUAAACGUUGGGAACUAGUUGUGGGGUCCUUUCCACGGAUUCCGUGACGCAGCUAACGCAUUAAGUUCCCCGCC